GAUGAAGAACGCAGUGAAAUGCGAUAAGUAAUGUGAAUUGCAGAAUUCAGUGAAUCAUCGAAUCUUUGAACGCACAUUGCGCCCGCCAGUAUUCUGGCGGGCAUGCCUGUUCGAGCGUCAUUUCAACCAUCAAGCCCUGCUUGCGUUGGGGUCCUGCGGCUGCCCGCAGGCCCUGAAAACCAGUGGCGGGCUCGCUAGUCACACCGAGCGCAGUAAUACAUCUCGCCUUGGGCGUGCGGCGGGUUCUUGCCGUUAAACACCCCCUUUUUACCAAGGUUGACCUCGGAUCAGGUAGGAAUACCCGCUGAACUUAAGCAUAUCAAUAAGCGGAGGA
rnacentral:misc_RNA from 1 species